rnacentral:rRNA from 1 species
CGUGUAGGCGGUGUGGUAAGUCGGAUGUGAAAUCUCCAGGCUCAACCUGGAAACUGCAUUCGAAACUGCCAUGCUUGAGUACCGGAGAGGGAAACGGAAUUCCUGGUGUAGGGGUGAAAUCUGUAGAUAUCAGGAAGAACACCGGUGGCGAAGGCGGUUUCCUGGCCGGAUACUGACGCUGAGGCGCGAAAGCUAGGGGAGCAAAACA